rnacentral:lncRNA from 10 species
GUCUAUUAAGUGUGCCAUAAAAUAAUACAACUCUGUUAAAAGGACGCCCACGGGGCUCCUGCUCUAACAGCAGCCAAGGCGAGCACCUCGCCAGCCCUGCACCUUCUAGGCUCACCUCUUGCUGCCUGGUCCUGAGAACCAGGAAUUGGCUCAUGGAGUAUUUCUACUGAAGGCUGAGAAGACUCGGCAGCCUGCAUGAAAAGUCCCGCCAGUUCCCGCACUCUCAGUCAGUCCCUGCCAGCUCCCACUAUGCUAGGAUGCUAACAAGAAUAUUCAAGAUGAAUGGAAGGUUCCCCUUCUCUUCCGGGGAAAUGCAGUACUCUGCAAAACUAGACCAUGAAGAACUAAGAUUUGUCCACUAAAGAGACACAAAAACGACAACCCACCCGGUGGAUAUGCCUAGCAACCUGUAUUGUUUCCUACUAAAAGGAACCAGGGCUCUUUAGAGAAAUGGCUGAUUCCAGACCUGAGGCAGGAAUUAUACAAGAUGGUCCUGAAACAUCUUGUCACAUCAGCAAACAAAACUUAGGAGCCAAUUUGAAGAGGCUCCCAUUGGCCAAAGAUGGGACAAUUUUAACUUCAUAAGAGAGAAAAUGUGUAAUGAAUCAAAACAUCAUAUAUAUUUAAAAUCAUGCAUUUGAAAUAAGUCUUUAUUGGGGGAAAAAACAAACAAACAAACAAUGGUCCUUUUUCAAUAGCCUGAAAACUGGUUACGGACAGGAACCAAUCACUUAUCCUACUUCUCCUGUAUGAACUCUUUCUCAGGACAAUCAAGUAAGUGGUGAUGGGACAUCUCUCUUUACGGGAUAUCCAAGUUAAUAAAUGAAAAAGAAAGGACAUAAGUAGAAUAUCACCAUCUUGCAACUCUUAAAUACUAGAUCUAAGCAAUAAUCAUCAAUGAACACCAUAAAAAUAAGACAAGACUCUCCUAAUAAAACUCCCUAUGAAACUAAACAAUCACACCCAUUAAGUAUUUUUGCCACCUUCCCUGCCAGAUCAAAGCUUGGUCUAAUCAAGCCUCAAGACCUAACUCCUAGUCUGCAAGAAAUAUGGGGGAAGUGAAACAUGUUAAACCACCCAGUGAUACAACCAGCAAAAUCUACACUAUAGGAAAAUCCACAGGAAGACACCUGGAUUCCUCGCUUCCUAAAACAUCAGGAGGUAACACACAACCUACAGGUUAAAAGAGCCUUACCAGACAUCUCAACCAGCAGCAAUGCAUAUGAGACAAGCAUAAAAAUUUGAAUACCUAUCGGGUUUUUUGGGGGGAUAUGAAAUAAUUACCUUCAAUUUUUAGGUCUGUCAUUGGUAUUGCAGCGGUUUUUUAUAACAUUUACAUUUAAGAGAUAAAUACUAAAUAUUUAUAAAUAAAAUAAUAUCUGGAAUUUACUUCAAAAUUAUCCAGAGUGAACGGAAGACUAAGUGGAAAUAUAGAUGAAACAAGUUGCUGA